rnacentral:lncRNA from 1 species
CCUGGAUAUGAAAGGGGAUACUUUCCUUGGUGGUAGUCCCAGUGAAGACCCACUGAACAUCGUCAGCCUCAAAAUGUAAGCUGUGCUGUCAUCUGCUUUGUGGAACACAUAUGCUACACAUCUUCUCCUUUCAAUUGGGCUGAAGUUGGGGCACAGUUAAAGAGCAUUAUAAAGCUCCUGCUUUAGCAUGAACUUAGUUAUCUAUAGAAAAAAACAUGUACAAGGACACUGGGCUGUGGGGAGCAUUGCUCUCCCUCCAUUCCUGAGUGCUCUUAAUGGGAUUAUCCUGGCUUUCCAAAACCCUAUAGAGAAGAAGCUCAUAGAAGAAAAUUCUCUUACUGAAUCAGUAAAAUAUGGAAAAUAAUGGGACUGUUUAUUAAAGGAUUGAAUGAGAGAACACAAGUAAUGCACUUAGAAGAGUGACUGGCAUACAGUGCUGGCUUCUCAACCAUGAUAGCCUGAAAUGUACCCGGAAAAUGGGGGCUAAUGUAAGUCAUAUUUAGAGAAGUUAUUUUGGGGGACAAUGUUUUUGACAAGACUACAUUUUUCAUUAUGUUGCUGUCUGUAAACAACUGUAGAUGCAGACUUGCAUUUUGAAAGGCAAGACCCAAAACACACAAACAGAGUAAAUACCUUUAAAAUGCCUCGAUCGCUGGAGAAAUGCCUGGAUGGACCUACCUGAGGGCAGACGCCACUGCCCAAAUUUCCUCUGGGGUUUCCCUGCGUCGGCUGCAUCUUGCCGACUUCCUCCUCGAUCCGACAGCGUGGGGCUCAGGAGCUGCUGCUGGCUGCUUGUCUGCAUGGGAGGAGAAGCACACAGUUACCGUCUUUUUAACCCUGCGCUCUCCUCCUUUUACUAUAAGAAAGGAAAACACAUGGCAGGAGGACAAGUGGGAAGAACAACAUGGACUCAGAGUGUCCACAAUGGGGAAAAGUGAAAAUGGGUAUAAAGGGUCACAGAAGAAAAAGAGCCACCACUGCACGCCCUGCUGAAGGAGACACCACUCUUCCUGGGACAUCUUGUCCUGGGUAACCCCCACUGCUUCGUUCCCCUCCAUGCCUGAGAAUGUCAUUGUUUCCCUUCAUAUCUUCGCUGGCAAACCAGGGGGUAAGGAAGGGGAACUGCAGGAAGGAAGGUGGGGCAGUGGGGACGGGCUGGGCGGGGGCAGUCUACUGUCACCAGCCUGGAGAUCCACACUUAGAGCUUCAGGGAAAGAGUUCUCUGCAGGCAAAGCUGUAUGAUGGGCCCUGGUGGAGGAUGGAGCUGAUAACAAUCUAAGCUACAGUGAAAGAAAGAGAGAUGCCAAGACUUCCCACACAUUUCACCUGUUCUCAGGUUCACCUGUCACCUCUCCCUUUCCUAACAAAAGCCUUGGUCUUCACAUCUCUUUAGUAUCCUUUUUUUUUUUUUUUUGUCACCUCUUUCUUUCUUAGGCUUUUUCAUCUAAAAACAGAGGGCUCUGAAAUCAUCACUUUCCCCAACCUCAUUAGCCCUGUCUCACUGUCUGUCCUGACUUCAGCCUGCCUCCCUCUCCCAUGCGAGACAUUGCCAACCAUCUUCAGGGUGACCAGUGGCAAGGCCACUGCAGAUGCCUCCCCUUGCCCCUUGGUUGACUAACUCCGCAGAAGUCCCUGCAGUCGGUGGCAGAUGAUUUCUAAAGGCUGGGGAGCCCAAAACAUGAGAUCUACUGAAAACUGAGCUAUGGCACCAGUGGGCCUCCUGGAGCACCCUGCUGGGCCGUGGAGCCUUAGGCUUCCAAAGGUACUCUGGCCCCUGGCUGCGUUGCUGCACACCAUGGAGCCUGGUGCUGCUGGGGGCUCUGCACAGAGCACGGGAUCAGCUCCACGUUGUUAACCUCAAAUCGUAAUUGCUGCCUCAUAAAGGGGCAGGUCCUCCCAGCCAGCUGCUUCUCACAGCACAGGACUCUCCAGGACGCUGAUAACUCCUUGUACUUUUUUAUAUAGACACAUACAUAGAGUUUGAAAAUGAAAAUAUGCUGUGACUUAAUAAAUAGAAACUCCUCAAGCCAAUUGUCCUGAAUUCCAUAUGUUCUUCUGAUACCCAACCAGGAAAGGAUAUAUCUUCAAUGAGUCUGAUUAUUUAAGGAGGUUGAAAGCUAAUUACAAACAUUUUCACUGAUUUUACUGCAAAUUUCUAUGACUUUAGAGAAGGGAGGAAAAUAUUUAGGGCAGAGCUUCCUGUAAACCAUACUCCAUGUAAUAUACCCAGAUUCAAAUGCAGCCCUUAGAGCUGAUGUUAACUCUUUAGACAAAAAUAAAACUACAGAAUUAUGAAGUUCAGGGCAUUCACUUUUUUUGGCAUUCAUAUGAGUCAGACUCUUUUUAAAUAACCUCAACUGCAUCCAAGAUGGCAAAGACAUAGACAUAAUCUGGAUCAAUGGAUUUCCGUUGCCUUUUUUUUUUUUAAUGAAAAUAUUCCUAUUAGAAAUAUUGUCACCUUGUUUGAAUGAUCUGACCAGCACCCAUUUUAUUUAUUUUUAUUAAAAGAAAGAAGCCCACAGAGUGUCCUGGGACAGAGGACGCCUCGUGCCCAUACCUCAGGUUGCAUGCUGUUGUCCUGACUGUUGGCAUUCGUGUCCUCACUGGGCUGGGUGGUCUCGAUGCUGGGCGGGUUCAGAAACCGGCUCAGCUCUUGCUGCUGACUCUCUCUCAGGCUGUGGAUGAUACUGCACGACUGCUGCUGUUUCUAUGGAAAUGCGAUUGUUUGUUCAGUAAAAUAAGCCCAGCAUCCUGCCUGCCCCACCGCCACACAAAUCUUAUUUUCUUCUCCCCUCUCCUAAGACCUGCAUGACGGGUGACCUCUUAGGAAUUUCCAAGUAAGGAUCCUGAACUAAUUUCAAUGUUCAAUUAAGGUAGGCUGAUGCAAAGGUGGGCUUAGAGAGGUAUGCAUUGACUUCCCAGUCCAUUUUCAUUUGUGUAACAAUCAGAAUAGUGACGGUCAUUGAUGCUUGUAUUUUAUUUAUUUGUUUUUCUUUUUGUUGUUGGUGUUUUCUGUUUUUUUUUUUUUUUUUUUAGAUAGGAUCUCACUAUGUCCCGUAGACUAGAGUUCAGUGGUGCGAUUAUUAUAGCUCACUGUAACCUUAAACUCCUAGGCUCAAGCUAUGCUCCUGCCUCAGCCUCCUGAGAAGCUGAGACUAAAAGUGUGCAUGACUGUGGCUGGCUAAUUAAUUUUUUUUUUUUUUUUUUUUUUUCAGAGAGGAGGUCUCACUCUGUUGCCCAAGCUAGUUUCAAACUUCUGGUCUUAAGCGAUCCUCCCGCCUCAGUUUCCCAAUGUGCUGGGAUUACAGGCAUGAGACACUGUGCCCAGCUUAUGUCUUAUUUAAAAUUACUAAUGUGGCUAUUCUAUUUUUUCUCCUCUUAUUUUAUUCUAGGCUCAUUAAGCCAAUACAAUCCCAACCCCUUUCCCACUUUCCUGCAAGUUGUAAGAGGCAAAGAGCCUUGGGUGGAUGAGAAAACCUUUGUGCUUGUCUUGGUUCUGAAGUUUUCAGGUCAAUCCAGGAGACCAAUCUGUCUCGGCAUAUACUAAAGCCAGGACUCCUUGUGCCCUCUCAGAGCCAGAGGAGGACAGAUUGAUCCCUGGAGCUAACAUAGCUACAGUGGCCAGCAGUGAUGGGACAUCACUGGGCAGCUGGCCUUGCUAUAGGAGGUUGAGUUGUAUCUUUUCUCUGGGAACCUUUUCUCCUCCAAUAGAAAUACAUGUGUCUGCAAUUGACGUUGUUGCUCUGAGGAAGAGGAUUGAAACAAUCUCUGUUAUAUAUAAAUGUUUAGUGAUUGCUUUGGGUUUUUUCCCUGUCUGUGAAACAUGCCAAAAGCAUUCAUAAAAGUAAUUAUCUCAUAGAAACAUUCACUGUAAAUACAGUAUAUGUCAAUGCAGUAUACAUUCAUUAAUUUAUGAGUUAGAGAAUCUUAUAGGCUUAUAAGUCAGGAAGCAGGAAACAUCAUUAAUCUUGAGAGGUGGUCUUUUCAGAAUAAAUGACAUUAUCACAGUUUGUUGAAAUUUUUAGCAGCAAUUUAAAGUAGUUUUGCAAAUUCAAUAUGUGGAAAAUUCUAGAAUUUUGAACAGUUGAGUUUAAUAAAUGGACAUCAUAUUUUAAUAUCAAUAAACUUUUUUUUUUUUUGAGACAGAUUCUCACUGUGUCACCCAGGCUGGAGUGCAGUGGCAUGAUCUCAGCUCACUGCAACUUCUACCUCCCAGGUUCAAGUGAUUCUCAUGCCUCAGCCUCCUGAGUAGCUGGGACUACAGGCAUGUGUGCCACGCCUGGUUAAUUUUUGUAUUUUUAGUAGAGAUGGGGUUUUGCCAUGUUGGCAGGCUGGUCUCCAACUCCUGGCCUCAAGUGAGUUGAGCUCCCCCCUUGACCUCUCAUAGUGCUGGGAUUACAGGCAUGAGCCACCACACCUGGCCAAUAAACUGCUUUUUAAGUCUUCAUGUCAUAUUAUAAAAAUGGGAUUCCAUGGAAACUCCUAAUGGACUCUGCUAAAGAGGGCAGGGCUGACUGUGGACUAGAGUGAAAGUCUGCAUCAUGAUCUGACCACUGUAAGUGGAGGUAGUGGACAUAGUUUAAAGGGAUAGAAGGCUGAUCACAGAAGGAGCUAAUCCCAUGUUCACGAAGCUCUUUUCUUUCAUCCUCCUGCGGGGCAGGGCGGGGCGGGGCGGGGACCCAACCUGCAUGUGUGCAGUUCACUCACAGCUCUGAUGCGCUUCAGGCACUUCUUGAGCCACAUGCGGAUGGUCUGCUUGGCCACCUCCUCCUCUAUGGUGUACUCCAGCUGCUCCCUCGCCAGGAGUUCCUCCAGCUGCAAGCUCUUCCGGAUGUCCACGGACCGGUAUGAAAGCAUGCUGGUGGGAGAAACACACCUGCAAUCGCAGCUCUGAUUCACCUGAGAUUUACACCCUUAGAUACGUCAAAAUCCAGAGAGGACAUCACUCAGUCUAAUAAGUCUAGUGUUUUGACGCCACCCCUCGCCACCCGCAUGUCUUGGGCUGGUCCUGUCACCUCUCUGUGUCUCCCUUCCCUCGUCUGUAAAACAAAGAUGAUAGAUAGUCCUGGUAACUCCUUUAUUUAAUGACUAAGUGAGUUAAUAUCUGUGAGGCUCUUAUAGUAGUAAGUGCCAUCUAAGUGCCUGUAAAGCAAAAGAUCCAGGCUAGGAAAAGGCUCGCGACUUUCUCUGCAGAAGGAAGACCGCACCUCCCAUACUUUCUUCACACUUAGCCCCCCGAGGUGAUGGUUAAUAUGCUCGGCUGUGCGUCACACAUCCCUACUCCCUGCAUCCCACUUCCCUCUCUGUUUCUCUCAUUCAUCCUUCUGUAUCUUCCUUAUUAAUUAAUUUUUUCUUUUUUUGAGAUGGAGCUUCACUCUUGUUGACCAGGCUGGAGUGUAAUGGCGUGCUGUCAGCUCACUGCAACCUCCGCCUCCUGGGUUCAAGCAUUUCUUCUGCCUCAGCCUCCCAAGUAGCUGGGAUUACAGCUUCUGGCCACAAGCAUAUUUCUGUACACCUGAGUUCUCCUGAAAUUUGAGACACAACACAAUAUCCCACACACUCCUUGUAGGUACUGCUAUGUGAUUAAAAUAGCUACUGCUAGUCAGUCGCUCUUAUUUUUUUCUGUGGCAUGGACCCCUGUGGCAGUGGAGCUUAUGGGACAUUUCUUGAAAUAAUGCUUUAAAUGCACGGAAUGAAAUACACCGUAUUACAAAGGAAACCAAUUAUAUUAAAAUACAAUUCUCAAAUUUACUUUAAAACGGCAGUGAUAAAGUAACAUAAGUAAGUGCUUCCUUUAUUAUUCCAUUAAAUAAUACCAUCUAGCAGAGCUCAAAUGACUACCAUAACUCAGAAGCACUGGUGAGCAUAAAUGAUAUUUUAAGAUGUCAGUCAAGGCAGUCAGUUAUGUCAUCUGAAAAUAUCUAUGAUUUCUCCUGGUAACAAAGACAUGGAUAUUGCUAAUGCGACUGUGGUUUGUUGCCUACGUUCAUCAUGGAAGAGAAUGACACAUUUCAAAGAGUGAUUAGUGAAAAUAAAGAUGUAAUUGUUUCCCCCUUGCAAGUCCAUGGGCCUCUGUUUUAUCCAUGGACUCCUGCUUAAGAAGCUGUUAUGGGUUAAAUGUUUCCUCCCAAAAAAAGAUAUGUUGGAGUCCUAACCUCUAGUACCUCAGAACGUAAGGUUAUUUGGAAAUAGAACAUUGCAGAUGUAAUUAGUAAUUAAGUUAAAAUGAGAUCACAGUGGAGUAGAAUGGACUCCUAAUGUAAUACGACAGAUGUUCUUAUAAAAGGAGGAAUUUGAACAUAGAUACACACACACACACACACACACACACAAACAGAAUGCCAUGUGAAGAUGAAGGGAGACCAAGCUGAUGCUUCUACAAGCCAAGGAAUGACCAACAUUGGCAGCGCACCUCCAGCAGCCAGGGGAGAGGCUAGGCUAGAUUCUCCCUCACAGGCCUCAGAAGGAAUCAGCCCCGCAAUACCUCCAUCUCGGGCUUCCAGCAUCCAGGACUUCGAGACCAUACCUUUCUGUUGUUUAAAUCCCUCAGCUUAAGGUGCUAAGUUACAGUAGCCCAAGGAAACAAAUACAGAAGUCUCCCAGGAAGAAGAAAAGGCAGAGACUCCAUUUGACCCUCUGUCCUGUCUGGGCGCUCAUGAAAUGUCUGGAAAAUCUGGUGUUUUAGCCAACGGGGCAACCAUCACAGAGCAGGCCAGGCAAAUUCUCAUCAGACCCAUGCAAGUGAGGUGCUCUGCAUGUUAGUCCCAGCUUUGCCAGAGCCCUGUAACCGCAAGCAAGUCACUCAGCUCUUCUGGGCAGUUCCCGCAUCACAGGGAAGGGGUGGGACUGUGCUCUCCCAGAUCCCUUCCACCUCUCCCCUCGGGGUGCACCUCAGUGGGCAGGGGUCCCUACGGGACAUCAGGGCACAGCCGCCCAGCCCUCCCCUGCGAGGCACCUACUUGGAAAUGUUCACUGGAGGACGGCAGGAAAGGGCACUUAGCGCCUGGGACAUGUGACCCCACUUCACGACCACAGCAGAUGUGGCAUUUUGGGUUGGAAACACACUUGUUAAUUGUACUGCAGAGGCCUUGAAGGCUGACAGCUGUGGUUUCUGGCCCCCAUUCAGCCCUGCGAAAGCCUGCCUUGUACCUCAGGACAUCAUGGAAGGUGACGUCGCCGCCAUUGUGGAGCCUCUCCAUUUCGUAGCACAUGUGCUUAAACAGGAGCUUGUCCUUGUCCAGGUCCACCUCCAGCCUCCCACGCAGUAGCCGCAGCAGGAACUUGACGCGGAACGUGGGGAUCACCCCCUGCGGGGCAGAGCACAAGAAGUAGCAAAUCAUCAGGCCUCGAUGAUUCACUUGGGUUUCUCAAAAGAAAAAAAAAAAGGUGCUAUUUCUCAAAAGCUAGCAUAAUUAGCACCAGAUGUGAAGAAAGCUGGUCACCUCCUUGGAGCCUGGUAGAAUUAAGUGCACUAAGAAGAGCAGAGGAUAGAAAACUGAGUGAUAAAUUUCUGCUGGUGCUUCUCUUUCUGGGAUGUCACCACAUUGCAGCAUUUGGAGUGAGGCAUGGGAAGCUCCCCUUCAGCCCCCCAGGACCCUACUCUUGCUCUCACCAGGCUGAUGCUUGCAUAGCCUGUCCCACAGACGCCACCUCCAACACAUGCACUGAGUGGGCCAUAAUGUACUCACACAAGGUAAUGGACAAGACACACACGUGUAAUCCUCCUCUUCACUCAAUCGGGAUGCUAGGAACGUCUCAAUGUUUAUUACAUGUUUUUCUACCAUUAAAAGAUAACUCGUGUUGGAUCAUGCCUGUAAUCUCAGCACUUUGGGAGGC